UUGUUUAGAAUUAUAAGACUUUCCAGACAGC
rnacentral:piRNA from 1 species